AAAAUAAAAAUGCACUUAUUACUUCGAUGGCAAUUCUAUUAAUGAAUAAUAAUAAAUUUUUAAUGUUUUAAUGUACAUAUAUCGUGUGUGCUUUGCCAAUUAUUUUUUUCAUAAUUAAACGCUUAAUAAUUCUUCCUGCGAACAAGAAUUAAGGGAACUUUAUUAAAUGACUGCAUAUUUAUGUCUUCUUUGGGACUAAAGACCGCAAAUUCAUUGGAGAGUUUGGUUUCAAGGAAAUCCAAUUCCAUUUCUGAGAUGGAGAAAUGCAUAAAGCAGUAAAUUGUCAAAAAAAAAAACACCAUCUUGGACGAAUCCUUAAUGCGUUGUACGAGCAGAGACAGUAGGAGUUUAAGAAAAUAAAAGGAAAUAACGUUGUCACUCCAUUUAUGGUUUACUUAUUGCUGCUUUGGUUGGUAUAAGAGCACUCACCGUAGCUAUGGCUAUCAGUUUAUUGGCUUUUUUAAAAAUUGUAUUUGUAAUUUAAUUUGUUAAAAUUUACAUACAUCCACGUUUAUUACUCUAAACUUAAAAUUUGUGUACACAUUUUAGUUAAUUUAAUUUGAGAUAAAAGUUAGCUAAUUACUUUUAAACUUUUGAUAGCCGCAAAUAAAUAACAAGUUAGAAAAUCAUAUUCGGCCACGACCGAAUCCAUCACCGUGAUCAUAAAUAGAAGCAAAAGAAUUAAAUUUUCCUACUAUAUAGUGUCGAGUGGGCACGAUUGAUUGUUUCUAUUCUUAAAAUAAAAGUGGAAAUUUAUAUGUUGCAUGUGUUACAAUUUAUGAGUAAAAAGCAAAGAACACACAAAACAAAGAUGCUGAAAAACUUUUGCCAUACAGGGAUGUGUAGGCGUGCUCUUUAAAAAGUUUGGAUUGUUUUUAAAUUCUUUUGCAAAUUUGUUAAUCUUUAUUGUUUAGUUUAUUAUAUCGCUUACAAUGAUCUAUUAAAAUUCAUAAGCAACCUUAAAAAAUAAAGAAGCGUUUUAUUCGUUUCGAGGUAACGCUAGGAAGUCGGAAACAUGCAAAGCCUUUUUUGCCCUUCUCAUGGCUGGCGGUUGUCAUUGUUCUCCUCUUCAAUGAACGAGCAUAAAAAGUAGUUACGAUACAUUGUGCUGGAAAUGUACACAUUGGUCAACAUUGUUUAAUUAAGCACGAUAUUUAAAUUAAAUUGUUUUUCAUAAUUCGCAAAAGUAAUUUCGGGCACUCCAUAUUUUUUUUUAAUUUUUUUUUAUAUUUUGAAAUAACAAUUCAUUUUCUAACAGGUGUUUAUAUUUUUCUUUUGCAGCUAUUUUUUUACAAGCGAAACUUUAAACAAGAUUUGCGGUAACUUUGCUGGAUAUAUAUUCAAUACUUAUGCAAAUUUGUUCUCAGCGACAGCAAUUUUUUGUCGCCGAAUUUGACGUAACUGAGAGAGCUCUGUCGACAAUCGCCAGAAAAUUUGCCAAUAUUUGGCAAUUCUCUUUGCAAUUUUGGCUUGCUUUCAUGAUUACCCCGCAGAAUAACUGACACUGACGCAAAAAGUGAGCUAUUUUGCUGUCGCGUAAUUUGUUAGAUAUGAGAGAGACUUUUGAAUACGUGAAGUUAAUGAAAGGGUAAUCGUCAAACAAUGAUAAUUACUAUCACGUACGAUAUCAGUCGGUUAGUAAGUUAGUAGGUUGUUGUGCUGAUUAAAGGCUGCCGUACGGAAAAGUGGAUUUUGUUAAAAAUUAAUAAAAAUUGAAUUAAAACUUUGAAAAUUGUAAUAAAUAAGUUGAAAGAAAGCUGUUAAUAAUAGGUGCUAUAAAAAAAAAUCUAAGUACUUAAAAACAUAACAAACUUCGCGAAAUUCUGAAUGGAGAAAAAUUAGUGUUACAUUUUUUUUUUUUUUUUUUUGGUAUGUUGAAUUGAAAUGGACUAAGCCUAGAUUUAGUGUUAAAUAAAAGUAUUUCGUGUUUAAAAUAUUUUAAUCAAUAGUUAGCGUUUCUUAUUUAAGAUGACUAAAUUUAAAGCAAAUUGUACAUUGAAGUAGUUUUUUUCUUUUUGCACGACAUUUCUCCAGCAAAAUAAUUGAAGUCUUACUUAUUUCUAUGUUACGCGUCGUGCUCUUUGUUCGCUGCGUUUGCUUUCUGCAUUUCCGUCCAUUUCAUUCGUGACAGUUAGUGGCAGUUCAUGUACGGCAGUGUUAUAUUUUUUUGUUUGUUCUUGUGUUCCUUAUUUUCGCCUUUUCGUUUCGGCUGAUCCAUUUUAUUUAUGUAAAAAGUGUGUUUUUUCGCGUGUUAUUUAUUUUCAUCUUGGAAUUCGUUCAAUUUUGUUUGUGCUUAAUGAUGUUUUUUUUCACGUCUAAUUUUAAAUGUUAUUUUACUACUUAUUCGAUAAUUUUAUGUUGCGGAAAACAGGGAUUAAAUAAGUUUUUUCAUUUUCCGAAGCUAAUGCGAUUAAAAUAAGUUGAAGUCACAUUUUUUUUUUUAUUUGCAAUAUGUUAUCACACAAUUUCAUUUUAAUUAAUUUUGUAAUUUGAAGCUUUCAAGAAAGCACACAACCUUUAAUGAUAUCACGAAUAAAAAUCAUUUUAUUAAUUUUUACGUCACUUUAAUUAAGUUUGCAUAAAAAGAGUAAAUAUUUUCGAUGCCGAUAUAAAUCAUCAAAAUGGCUUACGAGCCGGUAACUUCAACAUUGCAUAUAAAGAACCUUAAAAAAAUAACAUCUAUGGAAGUAAUUGAAAAUGCACGUAGACUAAAACGAAUAAAAAAAUUCUCAUCAUUGAACCUAGUUGAGUAACAACAUUUUAAAACAAUAACAAAAGCAGCGCCUACAACAUCAUCUGCAUUCAAAUCUCUUUCGUACAAUUCAAGUCGGUCGACAUAACUGGUGGCGCUGGCGUGCGUACAAAAUGUAAGAAACGUUUAUUUUCCUAUUCCCUGUACGAUUCCAUCGUCUACGUCUCGUUCUCCUACGUUUGCUCUGUUGGUUCGCAAACAAUUCGAAUUUUGGUUAUUUUGCCUCUUCCUAAAAUGAGAACGCCUACAAGAACGUCCGGAAGAGGUAUUCGUGCCUAUGUUUGAUGUACUUGCACCGGUGGGUUUUGAGCUACGGUGCCACGCCUUAAUAUCUUCGUCAUCGCGAUGUACUGGUCUGAAAAGUAUAAAAAUAUAUUAAACGAAAUAAAGCAUGCCAACUUUGCUUGUUACGGCUGAUAUUAAUAGCUGCUGAAGUUAGCAAUCCCCAACUGGGUUGUGAUUGCAACAACAGUACAACAUCUGAAGAAGUCACACGCCAAUAGCUGCAGUUCUUGUAGAGUAUGCCUGGUGUAUGCUAAUGCGCCUACCCCCACUCUCGGUCGCUCGUGGUCGCUUUCUCCAUGGAAUAGAAUGAUCCUGAUUGCAAACCAUCCUGUAGUCACGCUGUGUUUGCUACACGCCCUCGAUCUGCUCACCAAGUUUUUAUACCAACAUUUUAAAAUUAUCGUCCAUUUAGCAUAUGGUUUUAAUACUUAUUUUAGCAAUAAUGUAAAAAAUUUGAUAUG